rnacentral:tRNA from 1 species
GCCCGAGUAGCUCAAUCGGCAGAGCACGUGCCUUGUAAGCACGGGGUUCGGGGUUCGAUUCCCCGCUCGGGCUCCA